rnacentral:snoRNA from 1 species
AACCCAUGAUUUGGGCAUUUUCUCACCAUCAUUUUAAAUCUCUCUCAUGUUUCACAGAAGGUUUCAUCUACUCCUUGUUUGAACAUAGAAAUAUCAGACCUUGCUU